ACCCAUAAUUAGACAUUCUCUUUUGCACUCAAGAGACACCUUAUAUGAAAACCAAAGGCUCUCUAAUUAAUAGACAUGUCCAAAUUGAUCAAAUCAAAGUGGAGCCCCAUAAUAACUAUCAAGGAGAUUCAUAAGGGACUUGCAUCCUUUAUUUAUACAAUCCAUAGCCUUAGACAUCCAACAAUUUGAGUUUCAUGAAUCUUAUUCAUAUAGAUUAUUAGCAGAUAAUUAAGUUAGAGUUAUCUUAUCAAAUAAGUAAUCCUA
rnacentral:lncRNA from 1 species